CAAUUCAAGUACAACAACAACAAUAACGAAACGCAAGCUGAAGCACUAAAAUUGAAGAAAAAUACGGAUAGCGAGUAAGAAAGUACUGUUGUGGAACAAGCAGUGCUGAACGCCUUGAACUGCUCUAUAGAUCUACAGAAACUGGAGCAAAAUAUUUACAGAAAUUAGAAGGGGAUGUAGAAUCUAAUUUCAGGACUUCCAUACAGAUCGUUGAGAUUUGUUUCCUUUAAAAAUACAAUAGGAUAAUGAAGAAUACGAUUUUCCAGCUAAAUUAGAGACAAAUGAAAACACCCCACACAAACUGAUGAUAUUCAGAGGCGGAGUGUGUUUGUUUGUGUACUUGAAAUUAACUUUGUUUUCGACAUAAAACAUUGUUUAUUGUUUAUGUUUUCAAGGUUUAUUGUUUAUGUUUUCAAGACUCUCACAAGUUAACAUGUACUAAAAAUUACUGUAAGGACUUUGUAAAACAGAAUUUAUGUUAAUGUAUUCUGAUCAUAAUUGUUAAAGUCUUUUAGAUAUUUUUUUCUUUAUAACUGUU